rnacentral:rRNA from 1 species
CCUACGGGUGGCUGCAGUAGGGAAUCUUUCACAAUGGGCGAAAGCCUGAUGGAGCAACGCCGCGUGCAGGAUGAAGGCCUUCGGGUUGUAAACUGCUUUUAUAAGCGAGAACUAUGAUGGUACCUUAUGAAUAAGGAUCGGCUAACUACAUGCCAGUGGCCGCGGUCAUACGUAGGAUCCGAGCAUUAUCCGGAGUGACUGGGUGUAAAGAGUGGCGUAGGUGGCAUAAUAAGUAGAUAGUGCAAACUGGUGGUUCAAACAUUCAGACUAUUAGCUAAACUGUUUAGCUCGAGACCGUUCGGGGUAACUGGAAUUUAUAGUGUAGGAGUGAAAUCCUGAGAUAUUAGAAGGAACACCGAUAGCGUAGGCAGGUUGCCGGGACGGUUCUGACACUAAGGCACGAAAGCGUAGGGAGCAAACGGGAUUAGAUACCCCAGUAGUC